rnacentral:rRNA from 1 species
UACAGAGGUCUCAAGCGUUGUUCGGAUUCAUUGGGCGUAAAGGGUGCGUAGGCGGCGCGGUAAGUCGGAUGUGAAAUCUCGGGGCUUAACUCCGAAACUGCAUUCGAUACUGCCGUGCUUGAGGACUGGAGAGGAGACUGGAAUUUACGGUGUAGCGGUGAAAUGCGUAGAUAUCGUAAGGAAGACCAGUGGCGAAGGCGGGUCUCGUGGACAGUUCCUGACGCUGAGGCACGAAGGCCAGGGGAGCAAACGGG